CUAGUCCAGGAGGUCGUUGUGAUAGUUAGGUCUAGUCCAGGAGGUCGUGGUGGUAGUUGGGUCUAGUCCAGGAGGUCGUGGUGGUAGUUGAGCAGGUCACAGGUCAGCACCAGGUCGGUGUGGCCCGCCUCCCUCACCAGGCGGUGCAGCUGGCUGGAGGUGGCGCUGGCGUCCUGCAGCUCGUCCAGGGGCCAGUCCAGCAGCUGGGCGCUGGAGGGCCAGGCCCAGGCUCCGCAGGGCCCGGCAGCCGCUGAGAGACCGGGCCAAGGAGCAGGGCGGGGGGGGGGGACAGCACACAUUAAGAGACACCUCUCACAUCCCCUCGGGGAGACCUUUUAGAAUGCUGCCAACCAGCUGGGCCCUGGCGAGCCUCUCUGCCUAGCUCACCGCUCCUGACUUUGGCCAUGCAGCGGACUUCUCCUUGUGAACCUUUAGAGAGACGCAGGGCGAGCUCCCAUCUGAGGCCUCGGAUUAUUGUGUUGUACGCCUUUUCUAUUGUUUGUUGAUGCAUGUUGUGAUGCAUCGUUGUUUGUACUAUUAUUACAAAUAUAUAUGAUCAUAAUUGUC